rnacentral:rRNA from 1 species
GACAGAGGUGCCGAGCGUUAGGCGGAAUCACUGGGCUUAAAGCGUGUGUAGGCGGACUUCUAAGUACCUUGUGAAAUCCCAUGGCUCAACCAUGGAACUGCUCGGUAUACUGGUUGUCUUGAGCCACUUAGGGGCAGUCGGAACAGACGGUGGAGCGGUGAAAUGCGUAGAUAUCAGGAGGAACACCGAUGGCGAAGGCAGCUUACUGGGCCGAUACUGACGCUGAGGAGCGAAAGCGUGGGGAGCAAACAGG